UACGUAGGGGGCAAGCGUUGUCCGGAUUUAUUGGGCGUAAAGAGCGUGUAGGCGGCCAGACAGGUCCGUUGUGAAAACUCGAGGCUCAACCUCGAGAUGUCGAUGGAAACCGUCUGGCUAGAGUCCGGAAGAGGAGUGUGGAAUUCCUGGUGUAGCGGUGAAUUGCGCAGAUAUCAGGAAGAACACCUAUGGCGAAGGCAGCACUCUGGGACGGUACUGACGCUGAGACGCGAAAGCGUGGGGAGCGAACAGG
rnacentral:rRNA from 1 species